AUCCACAAUACUAGGUACUUGGAC
rnacentral:siRNA from 1 species